rnacentral:rRNA from 1 species
AGUGAACGCUAGUGGCGUGCUUAACACAUGCAAGUCGAACGGACGAUAUUUGUGCUUGCACAAAUAAAGUUAGUGGCAAACGGGUGAGUAAUACAUGAGAAUUUUCCUUGCAGUACGGAAUAACUAUUGGAAACAGUAGCUAAUACCGUAUAUUGCCGAGAGGUGAAAGAUUUAUCGCUGCAAGAUAAGCCCAUGCAAGAUUAGCUUGUUGGUAAGGUAAUGGCUUACCAAGGCUACGAUCUUUAGCUGGUCUGAGAGGAUGAUCAGCCACACUGGAACUGAGACACGGUCCAGACUCCUACGGGAGGCAGCAGUAAGGAAUUUUGCACAAUGGGCGAAAGCCUGAUGCAGCAACGCCGCGUGAACGAUGAAGUUUUUAGGAAUGUAAAGUUCUGUCGUAUGGGAAGAGAUCUUUCGAAUGUUAAUACCAUUCGUUAAUGACGGUACCAUACAAGAAAGCACCGGCUAACUUCGUGCCAGCCGCCGC